AGUGAACGCUGGCGGUAGGCCUAACACAUGCAAGUCGAACGGCAGCACAGUAAGAGCUUGCUCUUACGGGUGGCGAGUGGCGGACGGGUGAGGAAUACAUCGGAAUCUACUUUUUCGUGGGGGAUAACGUAGGGAAACUUACGCUAAUACCGCAUACGACCUACGGGUGAAAGCAGGGGAUCUUCGGACCUUGCGCGAUUGAAUGAGCCGAUGUCGGAUUAGCUAGUUGGCGGGGUGAAGGCCCACCAAGGCGACGAUCCGUAGCUGGUCUGAGAGGAUGAUCAGCCACACUGGAACUGAGACACGGUCCAGACUCCUACGGGAGGCAGCAGUGGGGAAUAUUGGACAAUGGGCGCAAGCCUGAUCCAGCCAUACCGCGUGGGUGAAGAAGGCCUUCGGGUUGUAAAGCCCUUUUGUUGGGAAAGAAAAGCAGCAGGUUAAUACCCCGCUGUUCUGACGGUACCCAAAGAAUAAGCACCGGCUAACUUCGU
rnacentral:rRNA from 1 species